rnacentral:rRNA from 1 species
GUGGGUAACCUACCCUGUACACACGGAUAACAUACCGAAAGGUAUGCUAAUACGGGAUAAUAUAUUUGAGAGGCAUCUCUUAAAUAUCAAAGGUGAGCCAGUACAGGAUGGACCCGCGUCUGAUUAGCUAGUUGGUAAGGUAACGGCUUACCAAGGCGACGAUCAGUAGCCGACCUGAGAGGGUGAUCGGCCACAUUGGAACUGAG